UUUGUGGCAGGAACAACCAGGCGUUGCAACACAUUUUUCUCUACAAAAUAAGUGUAGGACAAAAAAUUAUAUUAUCGUUCCCCACGAAAAAACCUCUACAUCCAAAAUUUUUAUUAAAUCACAGUCUAGCCAUUUCAGAACUUGGAAAAAAGAACGCGCUUCUGGGCUGUUGUGAAGCGGUACUGACACGUGUGAGGAAAACAGAGGAGGAAAGGAUGGCCCCAUACUUCAGCAGGUGGAUGCUGGGAUAAACUGGCCCAUACAUCUGUCUUGGCCCCUUAUGAACCCCAGAGGAGCCUGGAAACAUGAAUACAUGUGCAGCGGAGACAAAAAAUCUCCCCCAUCCGGUCCUGGUGGCCCAAAGCAACGGUGAAUAAUUCAUGAGGCAGAAAGGUAGGAGGAGUGGAUUGCGGUCACUUUCCCGGCCGCUGGGAAUCAGGCCCGGCGUGUCCAAGAGGGAGGCGGAGGGAUCAUGAAUAAUACAGACCGCAUCUGCAAGGAGUCUCCCGAGCCCCCCACCACAGAGGAAACCCACCCUGCUUCCGCCUGGGGUAGGAAGGGGACUAUCCUGCAGCGGAUCAUCUGACAGGCCCGCAAAGUGGGCUGUGGGCCAGCAGUAGCAGGAGAGAACAGUGUCUAUCCCAGGAGAUCCCUGUCAGCAACGACACCAUCCAUCUUCCUCCUCCACCGUGGAUCCUCACAUCUUCCCAUUGUCUCUGCUUGCUCCCCAUGUCAUCUUAGUAUUACGAUCAUUUUCGACGACUUCUUCAUUCAUUCUCACGUUUGCAUGGGUGGAGAUUCUCCCUUAUAAGCCCAGCACAGAAUUACAUUUUGAAGCUCAGAUGCCAUAAUUAGUGCCUACCCACCACAGACAUUUUACCUCUAUGAAGAAUUUUCAUCCCAGCUCACUGACAGAUGCUGUAAAACACAGUCCUGCUCCAUACAUAACCCAUUUGUGCUGUGGUGCUUACAGCUGGCAAACAUUUUUGCGGAAAAUCUGGAUGAAAUUAACAAUUUAGCUGGCCCUUUUUUUUUGUGGCUGACCACAUCUGGCCCUUUUAGACAGCUCGGCAUUUCCUCGAGCAUUUUAGGUUAAUUACCAUGCUCAAGAGUACUACUGUAGUAUUAUGGAAGUGGAGCUUGACCUAGCAACUUUCAGAUUACAAGCCCGUGUCCUUAACUGCUAUUAUACCUGCUGCACCUACAAGACACCAGCAACUUGCAAUCAAAUGUCAUGUGUACUGACAUCCAUGUGUAUGAGGAUAGAGUACAGUUUUUAGUUCUCACGUCUCGUCCCUCCAUGCAGUGAAUCCCGCCCUAACCAUCUCAGGCUAGUGUGAGCUGUGCACCAAAAAGCCUUUUACUGGCGCCCUGGGAAUAUAAAUCGUUCACACUCUCUACGGAGGCUACUGCUAAGGCACGUUACAUCUUCAAUGUGAAGUUGACUUUGAGCUCAUAAAAAGGGCUGGUGUGACGGCUAUUGCAAUGAUUGACAAUGUAACUGCGUUUCCAGAUCAUUUCUACAUGAUCGUUUAAUGGAGUCUAAUGGCGAUGUCAAAAAAAUUAUAACGCAAAUCUGGUCAAGCUUGUCAUGGGACCCAAAGAAGGUGCAGGAAUCCGUAACGCGUUUUUGGUGCCGAUGAGAAAAAAUCGGAUGGUAAGUAUUAUUGUGCUCCAUUGAUUUGGCCAACGGAAAACGAUUAAAAAAAAAAAAAAAACACAUGGAAAAAACAUACGUGACACAAAACUCCUGUAACAUGAAGCUGGACAGAAACCUUUGAUGGUUCAGAGGAAUCACAUUUUUGAAGAGUUCUGAUUUGUAAUGGCGAUUUCUAUGUGGAACAGUGUUUCGUACAAACUCUUCUGAGAGCAAAGGCAAAAUAUUUGAAUAUUUCACUUUUUCAAACAAACCCUGGAGGUUCCGAGGUGAGGUGAGACCUGCAGACCGUAACUGGCCGACUGUGGACCACGGCUCUGAAUUCUGCCAGUCUUCAUCACAAACUGUCCUUGGCAAGGUGACCAU